rnacentral:rRNA from 1 species
GAAUUUUGGACAAUGGGCGAAAUCCUGACCCAGCAAUGCCGCGUGCUGGAUGAAGGCGUUCGGGUUGUAAACUGCUUUUGUACGGAACGAAUAGCUUAGGGUUAAUACCCUGGAGUCGUGACGGUAUCGUGCGAAUCAGCCCCGGCUAACUACUUGCCAGCAACCGCGGUAAUACGAAGGGUGCAAGCGUUAAUCGGCAUUACUGGGCGUAAAGCGUGCGCAGGUGGUUUUGUAAGACAGAGGUGAAAUCCCCGGGCUCAACCUGGGAACUGCCUUUGUGACUGCAAGGCUAGAGUACGGCAGAGGGGGGUGGAAUUCCGCGUGUAGCAGUGAAAUGCGUAGAUAUGCGGAGGAACACCGAUGGCGAAGGCAACCCCCUGGGCCUGUACUGACGCUCAUGCACGAAAGCGUGGGGAGCAAAC